rnacentral:rRNA from 1 species
CCGGGUCAGCCCCUAGACUGGGCACCGCGUGCUACAAUGGACGGUACAAAGAGCUGCAAGACCGCGAGUGGGAGCUAAUCUCAUAAAACCGUUCUCAGUUCGGAUUGUAGGCUGCAACUCGCCUACAUGAAGCUGGAAUCGCUAGUAAUCGCGGAUCAGCAUGCCGCGGUGAAUACGUUCCCGGGCCUUGUACACACCGCCCGUCACACCACGAGAGUUUGUAACACCCGAAGUCGGUGGGGUAACUUUUUUGGAGCCCGCCGCCAAAGGAGGUAGAUAGGAUUGCAGCGAUUUCCUAACAGGGUGGCCGGAUGGAA